CAGGGGUACUGUUUGGCUAUUGUUAAGAGCGAGGGUAUUAACAUCAUCGGACAAAAUUUUAUGACGGGGUACCGCCUAGUCUUUGACCGUGAUGAGAUGGUUUUGGGUUGGAAAGAAUCUGACUGCUAUGAUUCCAUCUCAACG